UUCGACUGUUUACCAAAAACACUUUUUGAAAAUAUAAAAGGUGAUUUCUGCUCAAUGAUAUUAAAUAGCCAUAGUAUUUAUGACUAUGCAAAGGUAGCAUCAUUUGUCUUAAUUAAGACUGGAAUGAAUGGAUGAAUGGGGCAGUGCUUUCUUAGGUUAAAGGUUAAAAAUAAAUUUUUUAGUGAAGAAGCUAAAAUUGAAUUGAGGGACGAGAAGACCCUAUUAAGCUUGAUAUUAUUUUGUUGGGGAAACAAAAGAAUAAAAUUUCUUAAAAAAUUGUUGAUAAAUUUUAGGAUUUAUUAUAAUAAGUUACUAGGACAGCAUAAUUUUUUUUCAAAGUUCAUAUUGACAAAAAAGAUUAUGACCUCGAUGUUGAAU
rnacentral:rRNA from 1 species